rnacentral:rRNA from 1 species
UACGUAGGGGGGCAAGCGUUGUCCGGAUUUAUUGGGCGUAAAGAGCGUGUAGGCGGCCAGACAAGUCUGCUGUGAAAGUCGGGGGCUCAACCCUCGAAUGCCGGUGGAUACUGUCGGGCUAGAGUGCGGAAGAGGCGAGUGGAAUUCCUGGUGUAGCGGUGAAAUGCGCAGAUAUCGGGAAGAACACCCGUGGCGAAGGCG